GCCCAGGUGCUGGAAUUGGUAGACAGGCAUGGUUGAGGGCCAUGUGUCCUUUAGGGCGUGAGGGUUCGACUCCCUCUCUGGGCACAA
rnacentral:tRNA from 1 species